rnacentral:tRNA from 2 species
GGGGCCGUGGGCUAGCCUGGUCUACGCUUGGCGGCUUGGGCCCGCCAGAUCGCCGGUUCAAAUCCGGCCGGCCCCACCA